rfam:Rattus norvegicus chromosome 7, whole genome shotgun sequence.
GGGGAUUUAGCUCAGUGGUAGAGUGCUUGCCUACCAAGCACAAGGCCCUGGGUUCGGUCCCCAGCUCCG